rnacentral:rRNA from 1 species
UACGAAGGGGGCUAGCGUUGCUCGGAAUUACUGGGCGUAAAGCGUGCGCAGGCGGUUUUGUAAGUCUGGCGUGAAAGCCCCGGGCUCAACCUGGGAAUUGCGAUGGAGACUGCAAGGCUUGAAUCUGGCAGAGGGGGGUAGAAUUCCACGUGUAGCAGUGAAAUGCGUAGAGAUGUGGAGGAACACCGAUGGCGAAGGCAGCCCCCUGGGUCAAGAUUGACGCUCAUGCACGAAAGCGUGGGGAGCAAACAGG